rnacentral:rRNA from 1 species
AUUGAACGCUGGCGGCAUGCCUUACACAUGCAAGUCGAACGGCAGCGGGGGAGCUUGCUCCUGCCGGCGAGUGGCGAACGGGUGAGUAAUGCAUCGGAACGUAUCCUGUUGUGGGGGAUAACUGAUCGAAAGAUCAGCUAAUACCGCAUGAGACCUGAGGGUGAAAGCGGGGGAUCGCAAGACCUCGCGCGACAGGAGCGGCCGAUGUCUGAUUAGCUAGUUGGUGAGAUAAAAGCUUACCAAGGCGACGAUCAGUAGCUGGUCUGAGAGGAUGAUCAGCCACAUUGGGACUGAGACACGGCCCAGACUCCUACGGGAGGCAGCAGUGGGGAAUUUUGGACAAUGGGGGAAACCCUGAUCCAGCCAUGCCGCGUGCGGGAUGAAGGCCUUCGGGUUGUAAACCGCUUUUGUCAGAGACGAAAAGGGACGUACGAAUAAUACGUUCCGCUGACGGUAUCUGAAGAAUAAGCACCGGCUAACUACGUG